ACCGGCUCAGAGUCAGGAGACUGGUGGUGGGAUGCAUAUGAGUGGUCAGAGGGAGAAGACGGAGCAGACUGGGAAGAGGAGAUGUCAUAAGGUGAAGAGGUAACUGAGUUUAGUGAACAAGAAGAGGCAGUGGCAGAAAGCAGUCCAGAAUCAGAGGCAAUAGUAGAGGCAGAGAGGAAAGAUGCAAAAUGAAGCACGCUGCUGAAGAAGCCAGAUGUUCACCCUCUCCUGCUACAACCAGCUCACCUCCCCCCUGGUCUUGCAGGACCAGAAGAGGUAUGAAGAGGGCGGACCAGAUACAUACACAUUGAAGGAGUCUUGGAUUGCUUGGGAAGGACCUGAAGGGGAGGAGGCUUAGGCAACUAUGGGAAGGUGAGGACCUUCUGAGCUGUGGUAUUGCUGGCCUGUUCCUGUCACCUGCCUCUGCCACCUGCAUACAUUUCCUAGCUGGAUGAGAAAAGCAUCCAAAAGUGAGUUCUGGGUGCUGGUUCAUUCUCAAAUCUCACAUCCAUCUCUCCAAAGAACAGCUGAUUGGUGCUAUUACUGACUGCUUAAUGCCUACUGAGUACACAAAAUGAAUCAUCUCAAGAGAGCAAAAACAGCAAAGAAAGAGAAUUGUAUUUCUCCAUAUAAAUCUUUAAAGUAAGCAAUAGCAUUCACAUACAGUGACUCACUAACAUUGCCUAACACCAAUAUUUAACUAUCCAAGAACCUGCAGUUAUAUAAUACAGAUAGUUGUGAGGCUAUUUUUAUUUACUUUAUCUUAUUCAGAUUUAUAUUGCUUUAUAUUUCAACAGAAAUCCCUAGGCAGUUUGAAUACCACUCCCAAAAAAUACAACACAGAGUGAUUGAGUUGUCACCAUUGUCCCACCAAUGAGGAAACAAGGCUGUGCCCAACAACCUACAAUUUGGAAGGUAGGGUGGUAAAAGUUGUGCUUAAAGCUUUUGCUGCUUCACCAGUCCAGAACUGGUAGGGACUGGCAGGGCUCCAAAGAACCAUCCCUUCUGUGUGGCAGAGGCAGGGGACCAGGGGAGUGAUCCAGGAAGAGAGGACGGGUGAUUUAUGGGGUGUAAGGCAGCAGCCAGGGAGGAAGGACAAUCAGGGCACUCCGAGGCAGAGGAAGGCAGGAAAAAUGUGAUGGAGAAGGAAGGGAUGGUUCAGGCAAGGGACAUGCCAGAAGAUUCCCCACCUUUCCCCUGCCCCACUGUUUCCAAGAACCAUGAGGGGCUUGAAAAUAGAAGAGCAGGAGAAGUCUCCAGUUGUGGGCACACAAUCUUUCAGAGAAGGGUAUAUAAGCUGGAGGAUGCCCCGCCCACUGUUUAACUGUUUCAUAGGGCUCAGACCUAGAGGCUAAAAGCAUAUGGGUGUGUGUAUCAGGAGGACCAUGGAAGUUGCUGUUAAGUGUUUCUCAUGCCAAUAAGAAGUUAACUAUCGGAUGUGUGUUUCUUCCUUCUCUGGGAUAAAGGUAAAGGUAAAGGGACCCCUGAACAUUAGGUCCAGUCGUGACCGACUCUGGGGUUGUGGCGCUCAUCUCGCUUUAUUGGCCGAGAGAGCCAGUGUACAGCUUCUGGGUCAUGUGGCCAGCAUGACCAAGCCGCUUCUGGCGAACCAGAGCAGCACACGGAAACGCCGUUUACCUUCCCGCUGGAGCGGUACCUAUUUAUCUACUUGCACUUUGACGUGCUUAUGAACUGCUAGGUUGGCAGGAGCAGGGACUGAGCCACAGGAGCUUACCCCGUCACGGGGAUUCAAACAGCCGACCUUCUGAUCAGCAAGUCCUAGGCUCUGUGGUUUAACCCACAGGGCCACCAGUGGCAAUAAUACUGUCGAAGCUCCUUUCUCCCCACAGGAUUCCAAAUGUGUGCUUGUGAUGCCAGACAAAAUUGUACAAGACUCUAAGUUUAAGAAGAAACAAAUGAACUUUCCUCUGAGCAUCAGAUGAAUUUGUCUUAUUCUGGAGGACAGUUUGCCUCAGUCACUGGACAACUUUCCAUUACAGCCUCCUUCUUUGACUCUGCCUCCUUUGGUCACAUCAUUACCGAGAGCCAUAGAAACGGAACUACAAAUUGUUCCCAGCUUUCAGUUCAGUGAAUAUCUAAUUUGGUGAGGGGUGUAGCCGAAGAUAGGGAAGACAUAAUUUGUGGAUCACAUGAAAUAUGGAGCACACAUUAAUUUAAUUUUGAUUUGCAUUCACAUUUUGUUCUGACAUUUGACAUUUUAAAAGUCUGGAAUUGUUGAUCAACAGAAGAAGAAAAAUCAAUACUUGCUUUAACAGGGUUGUUUUUUUGCCAUAUCAGAGAUGAAUUUGAACAGUUUCAUUUAUAAUGGAAAUGUCCAUUUGGAGCAGACAGUGAGCAAAAGAGCAACAGAAGAUCUGCAUUUUUACUUACCAGAAAAGUCAACUUAUGAUUACAUUCAGCUUUUUCAAAUGAUUCUUUGAUAGAAGCCACUGAGUAUUUUGCUGGAUUUGAAUAUCACAGGUCAAAGUUCAAAUUCCAUCUCAGCUAAGAAAUCACAAGGCGAUCUUUGUAGACUACCAUUAAUAACCAGUGUCUUGUCAGUGGACAUUUUUGAAAUGAGUUAAAGUCCAACCUUUUCCAGCCCAGAUCCUAAAACAUUUGGGAUAAUGCAGCAGAUGACUAGGCAGAGGCAUGGAAAAUAAGGGUGUGUGUGUGUGUGUGACAAGUACAGAGAAAGACUUACCGUAUCUUUUUUGAAAACCAUACUUUCCUACACACACACACUAUACCAUCGCAAAUAUUAUAUAUAAUUACAUAAUACUUAUUCUUCAGAAGAGACAGUUGCACUUGAAAAAAAAGUAGUAUACAGAUGAAAGCAACCCAGCUAAUUUGAAACAGUUCAAUUUAAUUCUGAAAUACUAACUUACUGGAAGACCAGCUGUUCCCCUCUUUCCCCAAAAGUGUCAAGAUAUGAUUACUUCUGUAAGAUAGUCAUUAUUGCAAAGCUUGAAAAGAAAUUAGGAAGAGGGCCUGUCAGUACAUUUCAUAGCAAGUCAAAAGAUGAGUCAGCCAGAGAAAAUAAGAGAUGUUGCAAAGGCAGGAAUAGUAGUAGUUCUUUACAUCUCUAGAAUUCCCAAGUUAAAUAAGAACUUAGGAAAGCUCUGCUGGAUCAGGUAAAAGACGUGUCUAGUUCAGCACCCUGUUUCCACACUGGUCAAUCAGGCCUGAACGCAACAGCACCCUCUACAUUUACAAUUUCCAAAAAUUGGUUUUCAAAGGCAUAAUGCCUCCAAAGGUGGAGGUAGAACAUAGCCAUCAUGAUUACCAGAUGUUGAUAGGCUUUUUCUCCAUCAAAUCUAAGCUUAACUAUGAAUUUCAUAAAGUAGUAGCUGUAUUAUACAAUUUGCAUUCUUUUUCUUUUUAAAAAAGUUCAUAUUGCUGAUAAUGGGAGCGUUUCCACUAUUGGAAAUUGCUGUGGGGUGGGUGAGGAGGCAAGUAUUAAACUUCCCCUCUCCAUGCACUGUGAUCCUGAUCCAGAUUUAGACCCAUGCUUAAUUCUGAGCAGGAAAAAAAGCACAUACAUAGCUAUGUAGUAAACAUAGUGUGCUAUUCGACUCUUGUGUGCUGAUGCAGUAAAUGGCCAUUGGUGUGGCUGUGUAAGGUAACUUCAGGUUUUCAAAUUUUAUCUUGUCUUGUUAGCGUAGCCCCAUUAUGAAAUUCCAUAGAAUUAAAACCUACAGAUGCAAGAACUGAAAUGAAAUACACAACUGUUAACAGUUAACAUUUGAUCAUACAUAAGCACCUUUUUACACAAAUAACCGAACCGUUGUUUUUUUUUUAAUGUGAGAUGAGAUCACUUCCAGAUCUUGCAACAAUAUCUGGGAAUAAUUUUAGCUCACAAAUCUUAUAUUUAUCUAAGCAGAACUGCAUUUUCAGAAGCUGUGUUUUACCCAACAUUUUACCUUGAUCUUUUAUGGGCUUAAAGCUCAUAAGUGUGCCAAACGGUUAUUAAGUGGCCAUGUGGCUUUAGCAAUAUUAUGCUACCUUUAACCCUUAGAGACCAAUAAAGAGGGUAUGACCUUUAUUUCUUGUAGGUGCCAAGUAUGCUCUUAUCAUCUCCAGGCUAAAGUAGUUUAUUGCAACUAUCUUAAGUCAACCCAAGAAGAGCUAUUGGGAGCCAUAGGGUAAGAUUAAAGGCAAAUUGAAAAAGCGCAAUGCUUCAGCAGCAUUGGUGACAAGCACUAACACCAAAAAUGCUGUCAAAAAAAUAGACUUUGACCUUGUCUCUGCCACAACAGUUAAUAUCAACUGCUCAAUAAGAUGCUCUUAUUGUUAGGCCUUGGAGAUAAUCCAUUCAAAUCUCCCAAUAGUCUAUUUUCAGUGAAAGUGUACCAGGGAGGAGACAUUGGACUCCCUCGUUGAUCAUUCACAGUCUGAACUAGUGGCUGCUUGGAAGAGCAAGUCGCGGCCAUUCCUGGUGAGUGAAUUUGCUUCAGCCAUUCUUUGGGAGCACUUCUGUCAGUUGGGCUGGGCUUUUGCCUGCUAGCCAAAGCAGCAGGUUGAAGAAUUCCUUCACAGGCAGAUACACCCAUAAGAAAGCACCCCAAAAGGCUUUCUGUGGAAAGCGAGGAUGCUUUUUCACAUGCAAUUAUCCUCUCGUUUUGACUAUGUCGGACCUGCUCCUGAGGAAAUUUGCAGUGCUCUUCUUGGCAGUGUUUCACAUGUACAGAACAUGUGAGAUGUCAUGGAAACCAUGAGACUCAGGUGCAAGUAUACCUUGAACAAAUGCCAACACAAUAUAAUCCUCAGUUCUAGGUGUCACUAUAGGGCUAGGUAACUCACUUUUUGUGUUUGUCUGUCUUUCUUCUUUUCAACUUAUAAAUGGCAUCCUGAUUGG